rnacentral:sRNA from 1 species
AGCUGGUGUGAGGGUGGGUGGGUUACUGCAUCAACUACUCACAUGGGUCACAGGGUCAACUUUGUUCUCUUAUUCCUUCCUCACUAUUGCACUUGACUAGUCUAGA